rnacentral:lncRNA from 1 species
UUCCCCUCCCAGCGUUAUUCCAAGAUGUGUGUUUAAUUGAACAACUGUUUUUGCAUUUUUUUUUCAUCUUACCAAUUUCCACAAUCAUUAUCAUAAUCACAUAACCUCCCUUUGGGUAUACAUUUCUUGUUUUUUAAACAAUUAUAAGAUCUUUUAGAGCAACAUUUGUUAAAGCAGCCAUGAUAUUCAAUUGCGUUACCAGUACAAAAUUCACCUCUACCCUUCUGGGAUAUUGCGUGUUUACGAAAUCGGUUCUUUAUGCCACCAUAAUCACAGCUUUUACUACAGGACCCAAACUCACCGAAAGGUGUCCAUUUGCAAUGUCGAUCCCAACAUUGCUUGCCAAAAUAAUGGUCUUUGCAAUUACACUGUCCAUCGAUAUCAUUGCAUUCUGUUGAUGUAGAUCCCGCUGGGUUACAGUUGCAUUCUAGACAAUAGGAAGACCCACUGUGACACGAAAUAAUUGAAUCUCCUAUCCUAUAAUGAUUCUUCUUGCAUGUAUUUUUAAAAGCUUUGUUUUAGGAAAUAAGUAAAAUCCACCUGAACAAUUCAAAUUGACGGAGUUGUUCACAACUAUAUCACAUGUAUUGUUCUUAAAAAAUGUUUGUUGGUUCGCUAUUGUUAAUAAAUAUCGAGAAGUGACAGCAUUUGAUGAUUGUUUUAAAAUGUCUUUCGCUUGGGCCCAUAGUAUAAAC